GCCUGGUUGGCUCAGUCGGUUAAGCAUCUGACUCUUGAUUUCAGCUCUCAGGUCCUGAUCUCACGGUUUGUGGGUUCAAGCCCCACAUUGGGCU
rnacentral:tRNA from 1 species